rnacentral:rRNA from 1 species
CCUACGGGUGGCUGCAGUGGGGAAUAUUGCGCAAUGGGCGAAAGCCUGACGCAGCGACGCCGCGUGAGGGAUGAAGGUCUUCGGUAUGUAAACCUCUGUCAGCAGGGAAGAACGGUCACUGUGCUAAUCAGCAGUGAAUUGACGGUACCUGCAAAGGAAGCACCGGCUAACUCCGUGCCAGCAGCCGCGGGAAUACGGAGGGUGCGAGCGUUAAUCGGAAUUACUGGGCGUAAAGGGCUCGUAGGCGGUAUGUCAAGUCAAGGGUGAAAGCCCCGGGCUCAACGUGGGAACUGCCUUUGAAACUGGCGAACUGGAGUGUGGGAGAGGAUAGUGGAAUUCCUGGUGUAGGGGUGAAAUCCGUAGAUAUCUGGAGGAACAUCAGUGGCGAAGGCGACUAACUGGCACAUAACUGACGCUGAGGAGCGAAAGCGUGGGUAGCAAACAGGAUUAGAUACCCGAGUAGUC